GACGUAGGGCGCGAGCGUUGUCCGGAUUUAUUGGGCGUAAAGAGCUCGUAGGCGGUUUGUCGCGUCUGCUGUGAAAACUGGAGGCUCAACCUCCAGCCUGCAGUGGGUACGGGCAGACUAGAGUGCGGUAGGGGAGAUUGGAAUUCCUGGUGUAGCGGUGGAAUGCGCAGAUAUCAGGAGGAACACCGAUGGCGAAGGCAGAUCUCUGGGCCGUAACUGACGCUGAGGAGCGAAAGCUGGGGGAGCGAACAGG
rnacentral:rRNA from 1 species